rnacentral:lncRNA from 1 species
GGGCCUCAGGCGCUGCGACCCUUUUCCCGCUCCUCCCAGGCUGACGCGCCCGUCUCGGCGCCGCCCUCCUCGGCACCGACUGAGGCGCUGGCCCGGGAGCGGAUCGCGGGGCCGCGGUGGCUGAGUCACAUUCCCGGAGCCCCGCCACCCAGGACACCGCGGCCCCGGCCCCCAGCGAGCCCGGCGGACCCAGCGGCUCUGAACGCGGACGCACAGCCUUUGUUCUUUCACAGCCGCCCUUUACCUCACUCCCAUGGAAACCCCAGGUGUUUUCCCAAGCUGGGGGCUUUUAGUGAGUUCAAGAUUCAAGCCUAAGUCGUAUUAAAAAUUGCUGGCUAGGCCGGGCGCGGUGGCUCACGCCUGUAAUCUCAGCGCUUUGGGAGCCCAAGGCAGGAGGAUCACUUGAGCCCAGGAGUUCCAGACCAGCCUGAGUACAUAGCGAGACCCACGUCUCCACAAAAAUAAAAUAAAAUAAAAUAAAUAGUGGAGCAUGGUGGCCCGCGCCUGUAGUCCCAGCUACUCGGGAGGCUGAGGUGGGAGAAUCGCUUGAGGCCGGGAGGUGAAGGUUGCGGUAAGCCGAGAUCGCGCCAUUGCACUCCAUCCUGGGCGACUGAGUGAGACCCUGCCUAAAAAAAAAAAAAAACAAAAAAAGAAAAAAAAAUUGCUGGCCAGGCUUCCCGGAGGGGUUUAGUUUGACUGCUAACAAUAUACGGUACUGAGUUGCUAAUCCUUCGGGGAAUGGUUAAAGUUCUUUGCGCGCGCUCUCUCUCCAUUUACAGGCAGUGGCAGCAAACUUUCAAUAUCUGACAAGAGCAAUGGCGAUUAUAACCAUGAUUAAAAUUGCUGAAUAUCUGGAAACAGUACUUUAGACAUCAGCUUUAUUGUGCAUACUUACCCCCGACCCCCGCCACAUUCGUUUCUAAUUAGAACUACUAGUGACAAAGGAGAAAAAAAAAAAGUGUUUGCAUUGGCUGUUCUCACCUUGCCUGUAGUGCCGUUUCCCAAGUUUGCGUGGCAGUGCCCAGGAAAUGUUGGCUGAAUAUUAGUAUAUCCCAAAUGACUUGGACUGGGCUAUAGAUACCACAGAAUUGUUUAAACUAGCCAGGAAGGAGUUAGCUGCCUAUUGCAUUUGAGUGGAGAAAAAUACGAAAUGAAACAUGGCAUGCAGUGAUCCGGGUGUUCAGUUCUCCCUCUUCAUCCUCAUUUCAGCUUCUCUCACCUUCACUUUUUAUGCUCUGACUUCCUUCUUGCAGUUUUAAAUUACUCUCUAGUCCUAGAUUGUAAGAUUAUUUUCAUCAGGGAAUACGCAGUAUGUUAAACAUAGUAGACGUUGAAUAAAUGGAUAUUGAUCAAAUGAACCGAGUAUGUCUGAAGAAAGCAGCUUUUAAAUUGACAUAGCAUGAAGCUCUAGCUUAGUCACUAAUAGUCACUGUAACCUUAAUGGUUGUGUUAAUCUGGCUGAUAGAGGGAUGGGUACUUGUUGGCCCUAGAAAUGGGAACUUCAAAGAUCUGUGUUUAUCUAGCCGUGAAUGACAGUAGACAGUGGAAAGGGACAGUGAAAUUUGUGUGGCAGAGAUAUGUCUUCUUAACUAAAGAGGUGACUCCUAUUGUGAAGUAGGUUAAUAUGUCACUCUUUACCAUGGCCUAGAUGAAAUAUGUAUUCAAGCUAGUGUUUCUUAAGUUUUUGAGUCAUAACUCCUUUGAGAAUUUGGUGAAAGCUAUUGACUUUGCCCCCAGAAAGUUCAUGUACUUAUCAUGUAACUUAUCCUCAUAGGUAGUGUUUCUUAAUCUCAGCACCGUUGAAAUUUGGGCUGGAUGAUUCUUUAUUAUGGGGCUCUGUGAGACCUGGGGAUUGUAGGAUGUUUAGCAACAUCCCUGUCUCCUACCUGCUUAUCCAAGUAGCACCUCAUCUCCAGUUGUGACAACUAAAAAUGUCUCCAGACAUUGUGAAAUGUUCUCAGGGGGUCAAAGUCUCCCCUGAUUCAGAACCACUGCCUAGAGGAUAUGGCAUAAUGGUAACUUUAUGUGAUGGUUAGGGAAUUUGAAAAAAAAAAAAAAAAAAAGAAACAAGGAAUGGAUAAGAUUCAACAUCUGUGAAGUGACACUCAGUAAAUGAAAGGCGGAUGAAUUAGCAUUACUACCAGCUGGUGUCCUACUUAUGUUAUAGAAAUGUGACAGCAAAUGUGAUAUGAACUCCUUAGAAGCAUUUUUAUACACAUUGCUGGCUUUAAUUGUGAAUGCUACAGUAACUCUCCUGACUGUUUUUCUUCUUCUGCCUUUAGACAAUUACCCAAGGUUAAGAUGCAAUAAACAUGUGCCUAUUUUCUAUCCAAAAUCUCAAUCAGAUUAAAAUGCUUCUCUAAAGACCUGAAAGGCUUAUUUGUUUAUUUGUAUUCAUGUAGGAUUUGGGGGGAUGAAAGAAUUGGUGAUUAAUCAACAUAUUAUUUUCCCAAUAAACAGACUAUUCUGACAAAUGUUUAGUGGCAAAUAAUAGCAACAGCAAUAAUGGCAACAAUAAACUUAGAACAGAAAUGGAUUUAUUUUUAUUUAUUUAUUUUUUACCAGCUCUUUC